rnacentral:rRNA from 1 species
CAGUAGCCGCGGUAAAACGAAGGGGGCUAGCGUUGUUCGGAUUUACUGGGCGUAAAGCGCACGUAGGCGGACUUUUAAGUCAGGGGUGAAAUCCCGGGGCUCAACCCCGGAACUGCCUUUGAUACUGGGAGUCUCGAGUUCGAGAGAGGUGAGUGGAAUUGCGAGUGUAGAGGUGAAAUUCGUAGAUAUUCGCAGGAACACCAGUGGCGAAGGCGGCUCACUGGCUCGAUACUGACGCUGAGGUGCGAAAGCGUGGGGAGCAAACAGGAUUAGAUACCCCAGUAGUCCCUGUCUCUUAUAA